UCACUCAGUUCACGCGUUCCCCCGCUACCCCCUUCGAAUCCGGCGGCCAUUGUUCCAACCUGGGCCACGUGCCACCCCCACGCACCCCUCACCCUCGCCGUCCUCCAUCCACGCCGCUGUCCUGAGCCGACAAUCGCACUUGAUCGCUUCACGCUGGCCGUCCACGUACGAUUUGCCCCGAACCCUGCGAGUUCUCGCCCGAGUUGGAAGACGGCGAGCGCUGGCUUCCGGCCAACAUCCUCAACGACGUCGGAGUCCGCAGCCGCCCCUCUCCCCUGCCCUUCCCCGCUUCUUCCGACGGCCGCGAGUGCCUCCCACGCUUAGCCUACUUGCAAGCCCUCGCACGCGAGCUCGCAUCUCUCGGUCCCUUCCACCGGCACGACGUCUCAACUUCGCCCGUCUUUCCGCCGUCACCGCACUAUUUUGUGUUCGGCGUCCCGCCGGCCCGAUCGGUGAACAAUGCGGUCAGAUCCGGCGCAGUUCGAGACAGUUUCAUGGCCGCCGGCGUCGGAGGCGGGUGCGCCUCAUUAACCCCUAGCCUGAGAUCGGUUCAGAUGCGGGUGGGUUCCGAUCGCUUUCCUCCUCCGUUGCAAAGCCAUUGUUCGGCUUUCUGUGAAGAUAUAGACCUACGGAAGAGGCCAUUCGGAGCUAGUAAAACGGGGAUCAUGCAUCGCCCGGCCCCCUCAAUCCGCGGCCAGUUCGCUUCCAUUCCAACACCCGGUCCGGCGAGGGAGAACGCCGGCACAGGCGUGUUCAUUCCACGGGUCAAAAUAGAGAAGGUUAACGCAGCCCGAGAUGUGACAGGUUGCAGAGAACAAAGCGAGAAAGAGGCUUCGAGCAAUGGACCAGAGAAGGAGCGAGUGAAACAUAAGCCACUCCCACAUCCCAUAGAGCAUGGCCUGCCUCGGGAUUGGACCUAUUGAGACCCACCUCUCUGCUCCCCCUACUGUCAUAGCGGCAGGGCUACCGAUACCUUUUUUGUUUUCUGGCUGCCUCAGAGUGCAGUAGGAGAAGCAAACAGAGAGCGGGGAAAGUUUGAAAAUAUUGUAGUGCUGGAGACGUGACCGUGUUUUUGUUGGUUUGUAAAUACUAGCAGAGAAUAACAAAUUUUGUGUGUGUUGUCGUACGGUCUUAAUGAAAUUAAUGGGCUCAUUCGAACGUUUUGUUUGCCUCA